rnacentral:rRNA from 1 species
AGAGUUUGAUCCUGGCUCAGGACGAACGCUGGCGGCGCGCUUCACACAUGCAAGUCGAACGAGAAGCCCGGGCUUGCCCGGGUGGAAAGUGGCGAACGGGUGAGUAACACGUGAGGAACCUGCCCCGAAGACGGGAAUAAGCCGGGGAAACCUGGUCUAAUGCCCGAUGUCCUCACCGGACCGGAUGAUCCGGCGAGGAAAGCUCAGGCGCUUCGGGAUGGUCUCGCGGCCUAUCAGCUUGUUGGUGGGGUAACGGCCCACCAAGGCGACGACGGGUAGCUGGUCUGAGAGGAUGUCCAGCCACACUGGGACUGAGACACGGCCCAGACUCCUACGGGAGGCAGCAGUGGGGAAUCUUGCGCAAUGGGCGAAAGCCUGACGCAGCGACGCCGCGUGCGGGAUGAAGGCCUUCGGGUUGUAAACCGCUUUCAGCAGGGACGAAAUUGACGGUACCUGCAGAAGAAGCCCCGGCCAACUACGUGCCAGCAGCCGCGGUAAUACGUAGGGGGCGAGCGUUGUCCGGAAUUAUUGGGCGUAAAGAGCUCGUGGGCGGUUGGGCAAGUCACGUGUGAAAUCUCCACGCUCAACGUGGAGGCGUCACGUGAGACUGCCCUGACUCGAGUCCGGUAGGGGAGCGUGGAAUUCCCGGUGUAGCGGUGAAAUGCGCAGAGAUCGGGAGGAACACCCGUAGCGAAGGCGGCGCUCUGGGCCGGUACUGACGCUGAGGAGCGAAAGCGUGGGGAGCAAACAGGAUUAGAUACCCCGGUAGUCCUAGCCGUAAACGAUGGGCACUAGGUGUG